CCUACGGGAGGCAGCAGUAGGGAAUCUUGCGCAAUGGGCGAAAGCCUGACGCAGCCAUGCCGCGUGAAUGAUGAAGGUCUUAGGAUUGUAAAAUUCUUUCACCGGGGAAGAUAAUGACGGUACCCGGAGAAGAAGCCCCGGCUAACUUCGUGCCAGCAGCCGCGGUAAUACGAAGGGGGCUAGCGUUGCUCGGAAUUACUGGGCGUAAAGGGCGCGUAGGCGGACAGCUUAGUCAGAGGUGAAAGCCCAGGGCUCAACCUUGGAAUUGCCUUUGAUACUGGCUGUCUUGAGUUCGGGAGAGGUGAGUGGAAUGCCGAGUGUAGAGGUGAAAUUCGUAGAUAUUCGGCGGAACACCAGUGGCGAAGGCGACUCACUGGCCCGAUACUGACGCUGAGGCGCGAAAGCGUGGGGAGCAAACAGGAUUAGAUACCCCGGUAGUC
rnacentral:rRNA from 1 species